CAGCCGCCGCGGUAAUACGUAGGGUGCGAGCGUUAAUCGGAAUUACUGGGCGUAAAGCGUGCGCAGGCGGUUCGUUAAGACAGAUGUGAAAUCCCCGGGCUUAACCUGGGAACUGCAUUUGUGACUGGCGGGCUAGAGUAUGGCAGAGGGGGGUAGAAUUCCACGUGUAGCAGUGAAAUGCGUAGGGAUGUGGAGGAAUACCGAUGGCGAAGGCAGCCCCCUGGGCCAAUACUGACGCUCAUGCACGAAAGCGUGGGGAGCAAACAGGAUUAGAUACCCGAGUAGUCCCUGUCUCUUAUAC
rnacentral:rRNA from 1 species